CUGCAGCUCCUGAAGCCUGCACACCACAGCUGCAGUAGCCCGUUUGCGGCAACUAGAGGAAGCCCGAGCAUAAAACCAAGACCCAGCGCAGCCAAAACUAAAUGAAAAGGAGAUGUAAAAGGAGAAAGCGCUUAUCAUCGCCUUUAACCCACACUGGCCAGCACUUCAGGGCAACACCGAGCUGGUAGCAGCGGUCACCCGUGGCAGACUCUGGGACAGGGUGACUCAGGACGUGUCCACCCCAACACUUCGGCCUCUAAAAUGGGUGCAGCUGUGGUGGCCACGUGGCCCGGUGCUGACAACCAAGUCUGCUAGAGGUUUGGGGAAAGUGCUGGCUUUCCUGAUAGGAGACUGCUCCUUCCUCUCCCGGGAACUCAGAUGCAACGCUUGGAGGCGUAGCACCAUUUUGCACCCGAGAGGCAUCUGAGGACAAAAGCCACACACAGCGGACGACACACGAAAGAACCCCGGGCCUGGGACGGAGCCUGAGCGGCUGUUUCACCACCGACAUUCAACUUCCUAGUUCUUGUUGCGGGCUUUCAGCUGUUUUUCUCACAUCAGUCCUCCCCGCAGCUGCCCUCCUCACCAGUGCAGCAUCUGGGUUCCCCGCGGCUGCCCUCCUCACCGGCGCGGCAUCUGGGUUCCCCGCACUACCUGCCUCACCGGCGCAGCAUCUGGGUCUGUAACCAGACCAGGUUUGGUCUUCCCCGUGCACAGCAAGCCAAGAUCCUGAGACGCCCAGCCUUGUAGCCAAGCAAGAACUAGUCUCAGACGCGCCUUUCCCCCAGCUCAGCUCAAGUGAGACACAGCUGACCCCAAGGUCCUAGAAACAAGGUGGGCAAAUCCCUCAAAGUCUGCCUCCUGGAGGACGAGCACGUUCUGAAAGGCCCUGAGGGGCUUCCCAGACGGUCCAGUGGCCGGGACUCCACGCUUCCAGCACAGUGGCACGGGGUCAAUCUCUGGUCAAGGAACUAAGGCCCCCCAUUCCGUGAGGCCUGCCCAGAAAGAAUUUCUUUUCUCAAUUAAAAAAGAAACAAAAAGAGAAAAGAUUCUGUUCAGUGAUGGCAGGGGAAUGAAUUUGACCGAUCACCCCCAGGUUCGGCCUCCCC
ensembl:lncRNA